rnacentral:rRNA from 1 species
UACGUAGGGGGCAAGCGUUGUCCGGAUUUACUGGGCGUAAAGAGCGUGUAGGCGGCUUGGUAGGUCCGCUGUGAAAACUCGAGGCUCAACCUCGAGAUGUCGGCGGAAACCACUUGGCUAGAGUCCGGAAGAGGAGAGUGGAAUUCCCGGUGUAGCGGUGAAAUGCGCAGAUAUCGGGAAGAACACCUAUGGCGAAGGCAGCUCUCUGGGACGGUACUGACGCUGAGACGCGAAAGCGUGGGGAGCGAACAGG